AUUGAACGCUGGCGGCAGGCUUAACACAUGCAAGUCGAGCGGAGCGGCGGACGGGUGAGUAAUGCUUAGGAAUCUGCCUAUUAGUGGGGGACAACAUCCCGAAAGGGAUGCUAAUACCGCAUACUAAUAGAUGAGCUUAUGUCGGCUUAGCUAGUGGGUGGGGUAAAGGCCUACCAAGGCGACGCUCUGUAGCGGGUCUGAGAGGAUGAUCCGCUACACGGGGACUGAGACACGGCCCAGACUCCUACGGGAGGCAGCAGUGGGGAAUCUUGGACAAUGGGGGGAGCCCUGAUCCAGCCAUGCCGCGUGUGUGAAGAAGGCCUUAUGGUUGUAAAGCACUUUAAGCGAGGAGGCGUUACUCGCAGAAUAAACACCGGCUAACUCUGUGCCAGCCGCCGCGGUAAUUC
rnacentral:rRNA from 1 species